GCCAGGCAUGGUGAUGCGUGCCUGUAAUCCCAGCUACUUGGGAGGCUGAGGCAGGAGAAUUGCUUGAACUCAGGAGGCAGUGGUGGCAGUGAGCCAAGAUCAUGCCACUGCACUCCAGCCUGGACGACAGAGCAAGACCCUGUCUCAA
rnacentral:sRNA from 1 species